UACUACUUGGAGAAAAUAGAAACGGCCUGUAC
rnacentral:piRNA from 1 species